rnacentral:rRNA from 1 species
GACGAACGCUGGCGGCGUGCUUAACACAUGCAAGUCGAACGGAAAGGCCCUGCUUUUGUGGGGUGCUCGAGUGGCGAACGGGUGAGUAACACGUGAGUAACCUGCCCUUGACUUUGGGAUAACUUCAGGAAACUGGGGCUAAUACCGGAUAGGGGCUCCUGCUGCAUGGUGGGGGUUGGAAAGUUUCGGCGGUUGGGGAUGGACUCGCGGCUUAUCAGCUUGCUGGUGGGGUAGUGGCUUACCAAGGCUUUGACGGGUAGCCGGCCUGAGAGGGUGACCGGCCACAUUGGGACUGAGAUACGGCCCAGACUCCUACGGGAGGCAGCAGUGGGGAAUAUUGCACAAUGGGCGGAAGCCUGAUGCAGCAACGCCGCGUGCGGGAUGACGGCCUUCGGGUUGUAAACCGCUUUCGCCUGUGACGAAGCGUGAGUGACGGUAAUGGGUAAAGAAGCACCGGCUAACUACGU